GAUGAACGCUGGCGGCGUGCCUAAUACAUGCAAGUCGAGCGAACAGACGAGGAGCUUGCUCCUCUGACGUUAGCGGCGGACGGGUGAGUAACACGUGGAUAACCUACCUAUAAGACUGGGAUAACUUCGGGAAACCGGAGCUAAUACCGGAUAACAUGUUGAACCGCAUGGUUCAACAGUGAAAGACGGUUUUGCUGUCACUUAUAGAUGGAUCCGCGCCGCAUUAGCUAGUUGGUAAGGUAACGGCUUACCAAGGCAACGAUGCGUAGCCGACCUGAGAGGGUGAUCGGCCACUCUGGAACUGAGACACGGUCCAGACUCCUACGGGAGGCAGCAGUAGGGAAUCUUCCGCAAUGGGCGAAAGCCUGACGGAGCAACGCCGCGUGAGUGAAGAAGGUCUUCGGAUCGUAAAACUCUGUUAUUAGGGAAGAACAAAUGUGUAAGUAACUAUGCACGUCUUGACGGUACCUAAUCAGAAAGCCACGGCUAACUACGUG
rnacentral:rRNA from 1 species